rnacentral:lncRNA from 10 species
CCAGCCUCUUCUAGUUGCAUUUCCCAGGUGACCCCACAGCACCUGUCACCUCAGAAGUUGAGGACCAGAGAGUCCAGCCCCAUUCUGUGCCAGUGUGACCCAAUCUGCCCUGCCCAGCCCAGCACAGAGAGACUGAGCUAUGAAACCGUGACAAGUGCAUGGAGCAGCUAUUUGAGCACCAGGAAAGGAAACGAUACGCAGCAGUUUGGGAUGACCCCAGCAGAUGAAAUACAACAGAGUCAGUGAAAUCAAGAGCCAUGAUUUGGCAGCUUCCCCAGGAGAGAGUCCGGAAAGACCAGGGACAAUGAAAGUGGAGGAGCAGCCAGGAAAGGAGAAGCCACUGUGUCUGCAGGACAGGGGCUCCCAGAGCAAAGGGGAGAUAAAGGGGACACCUGUGACCUCAGGGAGGACACUGCACAUGGCAGGGACACCAUUUUAGCACAACUGGGUGUGUGAGGAGAGGGCACUGUGAGAAGUCAAGUGCCUGGAGCUGUGGCAGAGAAAGAGGCAGCAUCUGCAAGAGCUGAAGGUGUGAGAUCAUGGUCACUGGCUCCUGCUGCAUGUCAGCGUCUCCCUGUCACCCAGGCCCGCCCCAUCGCCAGGUGGCUUUGCCAGAACCUGCUGUUCAGGUCCCUG